rnacentral:rRNA from 1 species
CCUACGGGAGGCAGCAGUGGGGAAUAUUGGGCAAUGGGCGCAAGCCUGACCCAGCAACGCCGCGUGAAGGAAGAAGGCUCUCGGGUUGUAAACUUCUUUUGUCAGGGAAGAGUAGAAGACAUUACCUGACGAAUAAUCCACGGCUAACUACGUGCCAGCAGCCGCGGUAAUACGUAGGUGGCAAGCGUUGUCCGGAUUUACUGGGUGUAACGGGCGUGUAGCCGGGUUGACAAGUCAGAUGUGAAAUCCUGCGGCUGAACCGCAGAACUGCAGUUGACACUGUUGAGCUUGAGUACUGGAGAGGCAGACGGAAUUCGUGGUGUAGCGGUGAAAUGCGUAGAUAUUAGGAGGAACACCGGUGGCGAAGGCAGUCUGCUGGACAGCAACUGACGGUGAGGCGCGAAAGCGUGGGGAGCAAACAGGAUUAGAUACCCCAGUAGUC